AGAUAUGAGGGUAAUCUGGCUGCAACGGCUGUCACCUCACUGAGCACCCGGGUUGGUUUGGCUGACUAGGUGAGCAUCCCCUUUUUCCCUCACCUCUGUGUGUGUGUUCCUCCUGAAGGUGUACAUACAGUCAAAGAGGAUGAUCUUCCCCAACAGAGGAUAUACAAAUAGCUGCCCUCUGCUGCUAGAACCUUCAAACAAACUCUCAAGGUCCAUUUGUAUGAGGAAUGCAUAGUGAUCAAACUUUCAAGACUCCAGACACAUCUAACUGACGUGCUACAUGUGGCAUUCUGCCUUUU
ensembl:misc_RNA 7SK 7SK RNA